GUGCCCGUAGCUCAACCGGAUAGAGUGUCUGACUACGAAUCAGAAGGUUGGGAGUUCGAGUCUCUCCGGGCACG
rfam:Aneurinibacillus sp. XH2, complete genome.